rnacentral:rRNA from 1 species
AGCGAACGCUGGCGGCAGGCCUAACACAUGCAAGUCGAACGAAGUCUUCGGACUUAGUGGCGGACGGGUGAGUAACACGUGGGAACGUGCCUUUAGGUUCGGAAUAACUCAGGGAAACUUGUGCUAAUACCGAAUGUGCCCUUCGGGGGAAAGAUUUAUCGCCUUUAGAGCGGCCCGCGUCUGAUUAGCUAGUUGGUGAGGUAAAGGCUCACCAAGGCUACGAUCAGUAGCUGGUCUGAGAGGAUGACCAGCCACAUUGGGACUGAGACCCGGCCCAAACUCCUACGGGAGGCAGCAGUGGGGAAUCUUGCGCAAUGGGCGAAAGCCUGACGCAGCCAUGCCGCGUGGAUGAUGAAGGUCUUAGGAUUGUAAAAUCCUCUCACCGGUGAAGAUAAUGACUGUAGCCGGAGAAGAAGCCCCGGCUAACUUCGUGCCAGCCGCCGCCGUAAUAC